CCUACGGGAGGCUGCAGUGGGGAAUAUUGGACAAUGGGGGCAACCCUGAUCCAGCCAUGCCGCGUGUGUAAAGAAGGCCCUCGGGUUGUAAAGCACUUUCAGUGAGGAAGAACGCCUGGUGGUUAAUACCCAUCAGGAAAGACAUCACUCACAGAAGAAGCACCGGCUAACUCCGUGCCAGCAGCCGCGGUAAUACGGAGGGUGCGAGCGUUAAUCGGAAUUACUGGGCGUAAAGCGCGCGUAGGUGGCUUGAUAAGCCGGUUGUGAAAGCCCCGGGCUCAACCUGGGAACGGCAUCCGGAACUGUCAAGCUAGAGUGCAGGAGAGGAAGGUAGAAUUCCCGGUGUAGCGGUGAAAUGCGUAGAGAUCGGGAGGAAUACCAGUGGCGAAGGCGGCCUUCUGGACUGACACUGACACUGAGGUGCGAAAGCGUGGGUAGCAAACAGGAUUAGAUACCCCGGUAGUC
rnacentral:rRNA from 1 species